GACGAACGCUGGCGGCGUGCUUAACACAUGCAAGUCGAACGGAAAGGCCUUUUCGGAGGUACUCGAGUGGCGCACGGGUGAGUAACACGUGGGUGAUCUGCCCUGCACUCUGGGAUAAGCCUGGGAAACUGGGUCUAAUACCGGAUAGGACCGCACUUUAGUGUGUGUGGUGGAAAGUUUUUUCGGUGUAGGAUGAGCCCGCGGCCUAUCAGCUUGUUGGUGGGGUAAUGGCCUACCAAGGCGGCGACGGGUAGCCGGACUGAGAGGUUGGUCGGCCACAUUGGGACUGAGAGACGGCCCAGACUCCUACGGGAGGCAGCAGUGGGGAAUAUUGCACAAUGGGCGCAAGCCUGAUGCAGCGACGCCGCGUGGGGGAUGACGGCCUUCGGGUUGUAAACUCCUUUCGCCAGGGACGAAGCGUUUUGUGACGGUACCUGGAGAAGAAGCACCGGCUAACUACGUG
rnacentral:rRNA from 1 species